UUCAAGUUGACAGAUAAAUGUAUUUAAUUUAGAAUUAAAUUAUGAAUAGAAUUCACUUGUUA
rnacentral:tRNA from 1 species